UGUAAAGUCCAGGGGAGGGGGGCACUUUUGAUCCCAUUAAUCACACAAAUUUUGCAUCGCAGUGUGAGAUGCAGGUGAGUGCUGCAGGCCUGGAGUAGGGGAGUGUCUCCGUCAGAGAAACCACGGAAGGCUUCCCAUAGGAAGCAGCACUGGAGCUUUGAGGAAAAGUGGGGAGUAACCAGGGAGCCUCUUCAGAGUCCAAGUAACUCUUCAGGAUGACCCGGUCACAAAAGACUACACCCAAAGAAAAGUUGGCUGCGUUCCCAGCCAGCUGAACUGCCUCCUCUUCAUCUGCACUCCUGCCUCCCCGACCUUUGUUUAGGCUAUUCCCCCGCCCAGAAUGCCUUUCCAGGACAGAGCUUCACCAACCUUAGUUCUGACUUUCUGAGCCACAGGGAACCACAGUUGGAAGAACCACAGAGAGGCCUCCUCCAGGGACACCACCUGAGCCUCAGCACUUUGUAGCUGCCUCUUCAUCUCAGGCCAGCGUGAGCCGGGGUGAGGGUUCCAGCCCCCUUGGAGCGCCCAGCGUCAACCCCGCGUGCCGGACAGGCUCCGGAAGUGUGCUAGAAGGCAGGGUCGAUAUUGCCAGCUUUGGGGGGAUAGUCGAUAAUGACUGAAAAAAAUGGCACCAACACUCAUCCAGUGGCCCAGCUCCUGUAACAGCCCCCGGGCCAGCCACGGUCAGGCCAGCAUGAGGCUGCAGCACGGCCACUUCUCAGCAAUUCUCAAUCCCCCACUCCUUCUCCACUGCGACAGGACCAGCAGCGUCCCAGCUCCCCUGCCUGCCUAUGGCAACUUGGCUCUAAUCCCCUCCUCUCUGCACUCAGGAGCACAGUAAAAUGCCAGUCUGAACACACUUAAAAAUAAAUAACAUUGCC